UUAAUAUCCAAAAUAUGCCCCAUCCCAUAUGAAAUAUGUUGAGAUAAUAUUGCAAGCGUUGUGCUCAUCUUUCCGUCACGGUUUGUUUAUUUCUUCGGUACAAUUAAGGUUCAACAAUGUUUCCUUCUUAUUUUCUUGCAUGUGGUCACAAUAAUUGCAAUAAUCAUUUCAUGCCUAUUCUGCUCUUGAAGUUCAGUAGAAUACGAACAUUUGCAGACUUGUUUGGGUUUCGGUCUACAGUUUUUUUAUUGAUUUUCCAAUUAUUUUAUAUACUAGAUUUUCUGAUAAAUAGUAAGCGUUUUGGUAAAUAUUUAUAUACCAGUGUAUGUUUUCAAAGAAAGCACCCAUAUUAAGCUUUAAUAAUGAAUUGCCAUCAGUUUAGUCCCUUGGCUUGGACUGUUCAAAAACCGUUCACAAAAGUUGUCUGCUGGGUAUUUGUGACCUCACCAA
rnacentral:lncRNA from 1 species